GUGAGUAUUAUUUUAUUGGAAAUAUUGUUAUUUGAAUAAGUUCAAUAAGAAUCUGUUACUCUUGUAGCAGGACACAAUUGGAAAAUGGUUGUAUUACCAAGGUUUUGACUGGAGUGUUAUAUUUGAGAGAGAAUGUGCAUAGACUCAGAUAUGACCAGACAGCUUUGAAGAACCAAAUUUGACUUUGUGGAGCCAAUAAAGAUCCUUGGAAAUAUUGACCUGACACCUUGUUUAUAGGGUUCCCAGCAGUCUUACCGGGUGAGUAAUGAAAGUCACUUCUUGGCAGGUGCAGGAACCUCAGGAUAUUUUGGGAACCUCAAGAAGAGAGGCAUUCACCCAAAUCUACAGGUAUUGCAGAAAUCCACCAUCUUGCGGCAACCCAGGCAUGUCAGGGAAUGCCAGAUCGAGUUCAAGUCCGGAAGACACAGUAGGCUGCCCGGGGAGGAAUAACGAAGACUUCA
rnacentral:lncRNA from 1 species